CCUACGGGAGGCAGCAGUGGGGAAUUUUGGACAAUGGGCGCAAGCCUGAUCCAGCAAUGCUGCGUGCAGGAAGAAGGCCUUCGGGUUGUAAACUGCUUUUGUCAGGGAAGAAAUCUUCUGGGUUAAUACCUCGGGAGGAUGACGGUACCUGAAGAAUAAGCACCGGCUAACUACGUGCCAGCAGCCGCGGUAAU
rnacentral:rRNA from 1 species